GAUGAACGCUAGCGGCAGGCCUAAUACAUGCAAGUCGAACGGUAAGGCCCUUUCGGGGGUACACGAGUGGCGGACGGGUGCGUAACGCGUAUGCAACAUGCCUUCCAGCGGGGGAUAUACCAGGGAAACUUGGCGCAAUACCCCAUAGAAUUACGGGACCGCAUGGUCUUGUGAUUAAAACUCCGGUGCUGGGAGAUUGGCAUGCGUGACAUUAGCUAGUUGGCGGGGUAAAGGCUCACCAAGGCGACGAUCUGUAGCGGGUCUGAGAGGAUGAUCCGCCACACUGGGACUGAGACACGGCCCAGACUCCUACGGGAGGCAGCAGUGGGGAAUUUUGGACAAUGGGGGCAACCCUGAUCCAGCCAUGCCGCGUGAGUGAAGAAGG
rnacentral:rRNA from 1 species